UUUGAUCAUGGCUCAGGAUGAACGCCUAGCGGCAGGCUUAACACAUGCAAGUCGAGGGUAUGGUUUUCGGACCAAGAGACCGGCGCACGGGUGCGUAACGCGUAUGCAAUCUACCUUUUGCAGAGGGAUAGCCCAGAGAAAUUUGGAUUAAUACCUCAUAGUAUAGCAGUUUCGCAUGAAACCACUAUUAAAGUCACAACGGUGAAAGAUGAGCAUGCGUCCCAUUAGCUAGUUGGUAAGGUAACGGCUUACCAAGGCAACGAUGGGUAGGGGUCCUGAGAGGGAGAUCCCCCACACUGGGACUGAGACACGGCCCAGACUCCUACGGGAGGCAGCAGUGAGGAAUAUUGGACAAUGGGCGAAAGCCUGAUCCAGCCAUGCCGCGUGUGUGAAGAAGGUUUUCGGAUUGUAAAGCACUUUAAGUUGGGAGGAAGGGUAGUAACCUAAUACGUUGCUACUUUGACGUUACCGACAGAAUAAGCACCGGCUAACUUCGUG
rnacentral:rRNA from 1 species